CUGGCCAUGCUAUUUAAAUCCCCCCCCCACUAUUCAACCAUUCCUCACCAAAUCCAUCAGAAGCUUCUCCUCUCUCUCUCUCUCUCUCUCUCUCUCUCUCUCUCUCCCCUAUCCAAUCUUCCUAAAUCAUCAUAAAACAUGUCCAAGAAGAUCAUGGUUGUUGUGUUCAUUGCUCUCCUCCUGUUGUCCUUAGCUCAUGCAGGCAGGCCAAACCCAAUGGAUCCAAAGAAGAGCAGUCUUCAGGCUGUUGAGAAGGAGAUGGGUGGUGGGAGAAUGGAAGGAUGUGAAGGAGCUGGGGAGGAUGAAUGCUUGGUGAGGAGGACCCUUGCUGCCCACACUGACUACAUCUACACCCAGGAGCACCAUUAGGGACUUGUAGGAUAGCUUACAACUAUGCUGCGUGAGUGGGGAUUCCUAGUGUCUGGGUUUCUUUGGCUUCUUCUUCUCUAGGAAGUUUGGAGAGACCAUGUAAAUCACUU